rnacentral:rRNA from 1 species
UCCUACGGGGGGCAGCAGUGGGGGAUAUUGCACAAUGGGGGGAACCCUGAUGCAGCGACGCCGCGUGGGUGAAGGAGCGUUUCGGCGCGUAAAGCCCUAUCGGCAGGGAAGAAGAUGACGGUACCUGACCAAGAAGCCCCGGCUAACUACGUGCCAGCAGCCGCGGUAAUACGUAGGGGGCAAGCGUUAUCCGGAUUUACUGGGUGUAAAGGGGGCGCAGACGGCAAUGCAAGCCAGGAGUGAAAGCCCGGGGCCCAACCCCGGGACUGCAUUGGAAACGGGCAUGCUGGAGAGCCGGAGGGGCG